GACGAACGCUGGCGGCGUGCCUAACACAUGCAAGUCGAGCGGAGGUACAAUGAGAGCAAUCGAGAUGUACUUUAGCGGCGGACGGGUGAGUAACGCGUGAGCAACCUGCCUAUCACAGGGGGAUAAGGCGGCGAAAGCCGCUCUAAUACCGCAUGAGACCCUCAAAGCGAUGCAAUGGGGGUGAAAGGAGCGAUCCGGUGAGAGAUGGGCUCGCGUCCGAUUAGGUAGUUGGUAGGGUAAGGGCCUACCAAGCCAAUGAUCGGUAGCCGGCCUGAGAGGGUGAACGGCCACAUUGGAACUGAGAGACGGUCCAAACUCCUACGGGAGGCAGCAGUGGGAUAUUGGGCAAUGGCGAAGCCUGACCCAGCAACGCCGCGUGAGGGAGAAGGUUUCGGAUUGUAAACCUCUGUUCUUGGGGAAGAGGAGGAGACGGUACCCAAGGAGGAAGCCCGGCUAACUACGUGCCAGCAGCGGCGGUAAAGUGUGUGUA
rnacentral:rRNA from 1 species